rnacentral:rRNA from 1 species
CCUACGGGGGGCAGCAGUGGGGAAUAUUGCACAAUGGGGGAAACCCUGAUGCAGCAACGCCGCGUGAAGGAAGACGGUUUUCGGAUUGUAAACUUCUGUUCUUAGUGAAGAAUAAUGACGGUACCUGGGGAGGAAGCUCCGGCUAACUACGUGCCAGCAGCCGCGGUAAUACGUAGGGAGCGAGCGUUGUCCGGAAUUACUGGGUGUAAAGGGAGCGUAGGCGGGGAUGCAAGUUGGGUGUCAAAACUACCGGCUCAACUGGUAGUCGCACUCAAAACUGCAGCUCUUGAGUGAAGUAGAGGCAGGCGGAAUUCCUAGUGUAGCGGUGAAAUGCGUAGAUAUUAGGAGGAACACCAGUGGCGAAGGCGGCCUGCUGGGCUUUUACUGACGCUGAGGCUCGAAAGUGUGGGGAGCAAACAGGAUUAGAUACCCCAGUAGUC